rnacentral:rRNA from 1 species
UCGAGAAUCUUCCACAAUGGGCGAAAGCCUGAUGGAGCGACGCCGCGUGCGGGAAGAAUGGCUUCGGCCUGUAAACCGCUUUUCUGCCGGAACAAUCUUCGGAUGAGCGUACGGCAGGAAUAAGGGGUUGCUAACCUCGUGCCAGCAGCCGCGGUAAUACGAGGACCCCGAGCGUUAUCCGGAUUUAUUGGGCGUAAAGGGUCUGUAGGCGGUCUGCCAAGUCGGAUGUUAAAGCCCGAAGCUUAACUUCGGAAAUGCGUCCGAUACUGGCAAACUUGGAGGACGGGAGAGGCUGAUGGAACCUAUGGUGUAGGGGUGAAAUCCGUUGAUAUCAUAGGGAAUACCAAAGGCGAAGGCAUUCAGCUGGCCCGUUCCUGACGCUGAAAGACGAAAGCGUGGG